AUUGAACGCUGGCGGCGUGCCUAAUACAUGCAAGUCGAGCGAAGCGGGGACGGGUGAGUAACACGUGGAUAACAUCCUAUAAGACUGGGAUAAAUUCGGGAAAACGGAGCUAAACCGGAAACUUAUGGCUGGAUCCACGCUGCAUUAGCUAGUUGGUAAGGUAACGGCUUACCCAGGCAACGAUGCAUAGCAGACCUUAGAGGGUGAUCGGCCAGACUGGAACUGAUAAACGGUCCAGACUCCUACGGGAGGCAGCAGUAGGGAAUAUUCCGCAAUGGGCGAAAGCCUGACGGAGCAACGCCGCGUGAGUGAUGAAGGUCUUCGGAUCGUAAAACUCUGUUAGUAGGGAAGCGUUACCUAAUCAGAAAGCCACGGCUAACUCCGUGCCAGCAGCCGCGGUAAUUC
rnacentral:rRNA from 1 species